rnacentral:misc_RNA from 1 species
GAAGGAUUGCAAAAGAAACCUUUACUUGCUUCACCUAUUUCUAGUUAACAGAACUAAUAAUUUUGUAGGGAACAAACCCAGUAAGAAAUAACAUGCAUUCAAAGGAAAGAAAAGAAAGGUAGAACCAAAUAAAAAACCUCUGACAACCUCAAUCCCCAUAUUAAAAUAAUAAAGCAAAUAAGUGAACCAACUUAAUUUGAAAUUAAUGACAUAAAGAGAAAGAGAGAGCUUAAAGUCUCAAGCCGCCUUUAGAAACAUACUCCCUUAGAACUUUAACCUAAAGAAGUAUACUGGUUCUACUGACAUCAUUCCGAUUCUUUCCCUAGAGUUUUUAGCAAAAUUAACCAUACAACAUAGCUGGGUCCAAUAUUAACUGUAAAUAGAGGUUUCACAAAGAUUAUCUCUCACUGUGAGAGUGAGACUAAAUUCACUCCAUAAAAUUAAGGGAAUCAUGACAAGAAACCAUAUAAAAUUAAACUGCAACAGAAAGAAAAGACACCUGAAAUCUAAGAAAAUUAACACAACUAGAAUUACUCACCAAGCU